UACGUGUGCAGAUGUUUGUAAGAAAUGCUAAAAGAUAAUAAAUUGAUUAAAAAAAAAUCCUAAUAUACAGAGAAUUAUCAAUAAAUUAUUAAAAGUACAAAUAUGAAAAUAAAUUGGAAAAAAUCCUAAAUUAAGGAUGAAUAUCAAUAAUUUAUUAACAAUUGUAAAAAAUAUGUGAAAAUUAUAUUUUGUGCUCUUUAACGGUC
rnacentral:lncRNA from 1 species